GCGACUCGGAAUAAUGAGGGUUGGGUUACCAGCUCCAGAUUGAACGCUGGCGGGAUGCUUUACAUACCGUCGAACGGCAGCACGGACUUCGGUCUGGUGGCGAGUGGCGAACGGGUGAGUAAUGUAUCGGAACACGUGCCUAGUAGCGGGGGAUAACUACGCGAAAGCGUAGCUAAUACCACCUUACGCCCUUCGGGGAAAGCGGGGACCGCUUCGGGCCUCGCACUAUUGAAACGGCCGAUAUCGGAUUAGCUAGUUGGUGGGGUAACGGCUCGCAAGGGCGACGAUCCGUAGCUGGUUUGAAGGACGACCAGCCACACUGGGACUGAGACGGCCCAGACUCUACGGGAGGCAGCAGUGGGAGACCUGGACAAUGGGGGAAACCUGAUCAGCCAUCCCGCGUGUGCGAUGAAGGCCUUCGGGUUGUAAAGCACUUUUGGCAGGAAAGAAACAUGCAGGAUAAUGCCCCGUGCAACUGACGGGCUGCAGAAUAAGCACCGGCUAACUACGUGCCAGCAGCCGCGGUAAUACGUAGGGUGCAAGCGUUAAUCGGAAUUACUGGGCGUAAAGCGUGCGCGGGCGGUUCGGAAGAAAGAUGUGAAAUCCCAGGCUUAACUUUGGAACUGUAUUUUUAACUACCGAGCUAGAGUGUGUCAGAGGGAGGUGGAAUUCCGCGUGUGGCAGUGAAAUGCGUAGAUAUGCGGAGAAGGAACACCGAUGGCGAAGGCACUCCUGGGAUAGCUUUGACGCUCAUGCAGCGUGGGAGCAAACAGGAUUAGAUACCCUGGUAGUCCACGCCUAAACGAUGUCAACUAGCUGUUGGGGCCUUCGGGCAGCGGUAGCGCAACUAACGCGUGAAGUUGACCGCCUGGGAAAUACGGUCGCAAGAUUAAAACUCAAAGGAAUUGACGGGGACCCACAAGCGGUGGAUGAUGUGGAUUAAUUCGAUGCAACGCGAAAAACCUUACCUACCCUUGACAUGUCUACGGAAUCCCGAAGAGAUUUGGGAGUGCUCGCAAAGAAACCGGAACACAGGUGCUGCACAUGGCUGUCGUCAGCUCGUGUCGUGAGAUGUUGGGUUAAGUCCGCAACGAGCGCAACCCUUGUCAUUAGUUGCUACGAAAGGGCACUCUAAUGAGACUGCCGACAAACCGGAGGAAGGUGGGGAUGACGUCAAGUCCUCAUGGCCCUUAUGGUGGGGCUUCACGUCAUACAAUGGUCGGGACAGAGGGUCGCCAACCCGCGAGGGGAGCCAAUCCCAGAAACCCGAUCGUAGUCGGAUCGCAGUCUGCAACUCGACUACUGCGCGUGAAGUCGGAAUCGCUAGUAAUCGCGGAUCAGCAUGUCGCGGUGAAUACGUUCUCCGGGUCUUGUACACACCGCCCGUCACACCAUGGGAGUGGGUUUUACCAGAAGUAGUUAGCCUAACCGUAAGGAGGGCGAUUACCACGGUAGGAUUCAUGACUGGGGUGAAGUCGUAACAAGGUAG
rnacentral:rRNA from 1 species